AUAUUAUCAAGAGUGAGCCGAGGGUACUGACCCUGUGACGCUCCAGCAACCCAUUGAGUUGGGUGCUCCAUUCAGCCUUGUCCCGCCGAAGCUUUAGCAAAGGUGGACCCGAGGAGAGAUGAUGU
rfam:Parcubacteria bacterium GW2011_GWA1_47_10 TX71_C0002, whole genome shotgun sequence.